GAUGAACGCUAGCGGCAGGCCUAACACAUGCAAGUCGAGGGGCAGCACAGGUAGCAAUACUGGGUGGCGACCGGCGGAUGGGUGCGUAACGCGUAUGCAACCUACCAUUGAUUGGGCAUAGCCCGAAGAAAUUCGGAUUAAUACUCCAUAAUAUUCAUCAAAGGCAUCUUUUAUGAAUUAAAGCUUUUGCGAUCAAUGAUGGGCAUGCGUGACAUUAGUUAGUUGGUGAGGUAACGGCUCACCAAAACGAUGAUGUCUAGGGGUUCUGAGAGGAUUAUCCCCCAACUGGUACUGAGACACGGACCAGACUCCUACGGGAGGCAGCAGUGAGGAAUAUUGGUCAAUGGGCGCAAGCCUGAACCAGCCAUCCCGCGUGCAGGAAGACGGCCCUAUGGGUUGUAAACUGUCUUUUCCGAGGGAGAGAAACUUACGCACGUGUUGCGUGACUGACCGGUACCCUGGGAAUAAGCAUCGGCUAACUCCGUCG
rnacentral:rRNA from 1 species